rnacentral:rRNA from 1 species
GUCGGUGACCUGCGGAAGGAUCAUNAAUGAAAUAAACCUACGUAANCNUGUUGCUGGUUCUCUAGGGAACACUGUGCACACUUGUCAUCUUUAUAUCUCUCCACCUGUGCACCUUUUGUAGACCUGGAUAUUUCUCCAAGUGAUUGCACUUGGGAUUGAGGAUUGACUUUAUUGUCUCUACCUUACAUUUCCAGGUCUAUGUUUUCAUCAUAUACCCUUAAUGUAUGUUAUAGAAUGUAAUACAUGGGCCUUUGUGCCUAUAAAACCUAUACAACUUUCAGCAACGGAUCUCUUGGCUCUCGCAUCGAUGAAGAACGCAGCGAAAUGCGAUAAGUAAUGUGAAUUGCAGAAUUCAGUGAAUCAUCGAAUCUUUGAACGCACCUUGCGCUCCUUGGUAUUCCGAGGAGCAUGCCUGUUUGAGUGUCAUUAAUAUAUAUAUAUCAAUCUCUUCAGCUUUGCUUGUUGAGUAUUGGAUGUGGGGGUUCUUUUUUGUUGGCUUCUAUGAAGUCAGCUCCCCUGAAAUGUAUUAGCAGAACAAUUUGUUUAUCUUGUUCAUUGGUGUGAUAAUUAUCUACGCUAUUGACAGAGAAGCAGUUCAGCUUCUAAUUAGUCCAUUGACUUGGACAAAUUUUCAUUAAUGUGACCUCAAAUCAGGUAGGACUACCCGCUGAACUUAAGCAUAUC